UUCGCCUGGUAAAAUAAGACAUUCUUUACUUUACUUUUACUUUUAAAACUGUUUAUUUUAUUUUCUGUACUGAAACAUGUGUUGUUUUACAGGAAAUGUAUGAAUUUCUACCUCGGCAAAGAAAACUUAAACAUAUUUUACAAGCAAGAAAUAUGAAUGAAAUAAAUGUUAUUCAUGAGGAACUUGUACCUGAAAUAUUGAAGACAUCAUCUGAUUUAGAAAACAGUAGACUGGUGGAAUCCAACUAUCAACAGAUACCUAGUAUGAUAGACUCAGUAAAUGUAAUAUCACAACAAGAAAGGUAUGAAAUUGCAUUAUCAAAAACUCAAAGGCUGGCAAACCUACUAUCAGAGGCACCAUCAGAAACUUUCUUUCAGCGUCUAGUGAACUUGGAAACAUUAAUAUACAAUUGGGAGAAUAAUGAAGAAGUGAGUGUUAUUUCACUUAACUCAAAGAAUAAUUGUUCCCAAGAUUUCAUUGAAAUAGAUAAUAAUUAUGUUUUAAUUACAGUAAACGAAUCUGUUGUAUCUGAAUUACAACCUUUUUUUCAAACAAAAUUGAGUUCAGGUUCAGUAGAAAACUACAAAGAAGUGCCAACCUUGCUAGAAGACCAUAAUUAUUUUCAGUUAACCAGUAAAUAAGAAACCAAAAUAAAAAUUUUACAAGAAUCAAAAGCGGUGCAAAAUAUAUUUGAAACAGUGACUAUGAUACAAAUAUUGAAUACGUCUAUAUUCACUAAAAAGCAAAGACGAUAAAGAUAAAACCGUUUUAAAUUUCUUUAGUUAAUAAAUAAUUUUAUGUGCAGUGUUGGAUGAUAAAACAGUAUACCCAGAUGAAUUCAGACAUAAUCUCAAAUGCUGCCUGCCUUUAUACUCAUAAAAACAGAGUAUAUGUAGAAUGAAUCAAGAUUAAUUGUAUUGAGUAUGAAUAGACUUCUGUUCAAGACAGUAAUCCGACAAUUUUCUGCUAUAAUGUUAAAUGGAAGCUAACAUCAGUCAUAGUAUUUUAAUAGUCUUCAGUUCGCUGUCCAUUUUUCAUUUAAAUUCAUUUCAAAUUUUUCUGACUGCACAAAUGUGAAAGAAUAUUUUGUUCUGCAGAUCAAUGAGGAUGGAGUUUAUACUGGAUUUUCAAGGAUUCAAAAACAUUAUCAACGAUUUUGUCAUAAAAGAGCUUGCUCUAAUAUCAACGGACGAGCAAGUGUACCAACUGCAGUUGUUUCAACCACCGUGUAAUUUUAACAAUCUCCCUACACAUUUA
rnacentral:misc_RNA from 1 species